AACGGCCAUACCAUGAUGAAAGAACCGGCUCUCGUUCGGUCACCGAAGUUAUGCAUCAUCAGGCGCGGUCAGUGCUUGGGUGGGUGACCACCUGGGAAAACCGCGAGCAG